AGUGAACGCUGGCGGUAGGCCUAACACAUGCAAGUCGAACGGCAGCACAGUAAGAGCUUGCUCUUACGGGUGUCGAGUGUCGGACGGGUGAGGAAUACAUCGGAAUCUACUUUUUCGUGGGGGAUAACGUAGGGAAACUUACGCUAAUACCGCAUACGACCUACGGGUGAAAGCAGGGGAUCUUCGGACCUUGCGCGAUUGAAUGAGCCGAUGUCGGAUUAGCUAGUUGGCGGGGUAAAGGCCCACCAAGGCGACGAUCCGUAGCUGGUCUGAGAGGAUGAUCAGACAGACGGGAACAGAGAAAGGGCACAGACACCUACGGGAGGCAGCAGUGGGGAAUAUUGGAGAAAGGGCGAAAGGCGGAUACAGGCAAACCGCGGGGGGGAAGAAGGACUUAGGGUGGGAAAGCCAUGAUGUUGGGAAAGAAAAGAAGCAGGUUAAUACCCCGUGGUUAUGACGGUACCGAAAGAAUAAGCACCGGCUAACUUCGUG
rnacentral:rRNA from 1 species